CCGCACCCCGCACCGCGCAUCCGGCAGCCAAUCCAUCCUCGCCUCGUCCCACUCCCGCACCAGCCACCACCCAAACCCUAGCCCCCUUUCCCCUCGAUCCCCACAGCCUCUCCCGCCUCCUCCAUCCCUCCUCCUUGCCUCGCCACGGCCUCCCCCAGGAGCCUCGCCGCCCCUGUGAGCUCGGUGGCGGGAUGAAUGGACAGGGGAGGUGGGCGAUGAGGGCUACUCCAUCCACCAGAUCCGCGCCGCCCCUGCCCAAAUCUUCUCCGCGUGCGCCGCACCCAAUCCCGUCCUCGCUCGUCUUGUCCCACGGCCAGCUCCCCAUCCUCCUGCGGUUCCCCUCCCUUUCUUCCUUGUCCUCCCUUACGACACGCCGUCUGUCUCCAUCCCACGUCCUCGCGGCCGCCACAGCCUCUCCAGGAGGCUCGCCCUUCGUGCUGCAAACAGCAGGCACGGAUCUGCAGGAGGAAGAGGAGAUCCCGGGGUCCAGGCGGUGGCUCGGUCGAUGCGAGGUGAUGGCGAGCCGAUGAGUGUGGGCGGUCAAGACUACGGUCGCAGCUUUGGUGGUUGCGCACAUGUCAGCGAUUGCAUCUGAUGUCACACACCGAGGUUCAAACAGGAGAAGAAGUACUAUCUUGCCUGCCUGAAAUUAAUAGGAGCUCAGCCUGAAUGUCGGAUGUUCUUGAAGAAAUACCUGGAAUGUAGGAUGGAGAGAUUGCAGUUGCAGAGAGUAUGGUCAUAAAAGUUUUGAAGAAAUUUGUGAAGGUUGUCAUUAAGAUCUUUUAAGAGAGAUAUCUCCUUGUACCAAAUGAAGCGGACGCUACAGGGCUUCUGCAGAUGGGUGCAUCAAAUGGCUUCCCUGGUAUUUGUGGAAGCAUAAAAUCGACAUCAUGGCUGCCGGCGGCAGAAUGAUGGAGAAGGAGCGGGAGAAGCAGGAGCUGCUCGGCCGCGCUAGCGCCGGUGAGAUCUUCCAGCGUGCGCCGACGGACAAGCCGGCAUUCACGCUGGCCCAGAUCAAGAAGGCAAUCCCGCCUCACGCUUCCAGUGCUCGGUGAUCAGGUCCUUCUCCUAUGUGGUCUAUGACCUUGUCAUCAUCGCGUCCCUCCUGUACGCCGCGUUGGUCUGGAUCCCAGCACUCCCGAGCAUGCAACAGCUGGGCGCCUGUCCGCUCUACUGGGUCGUGCAGGGCUGCGUCAUGAACGACAUCUGGGUGAUCGCCCACGAGUGCGGCCACCACGCCUUCUCCGACUACUUGCUGCUCGACAACAUGGUCAGAAGCUCAUUAUCGUCUUGUCUAGCAUUGCUAUUAUUCUGAACCUGGUAUGGCCUCAAAAUAAACUGAAAUAGGGGAGUUGUUGGUCAAACAAAUAAUUCUGCAUGUUUGGACACUCAGUUUUCUGCACUUUAGUCAUCUGUAUGGGUUGGGUUCAUGAAUAAUCAGUGGCUGGCAUCAUUUUAUAUUUGCACCGUUUGAGUGCCGAUUACAGUAGGUCUACAUUUUUUAAUCAAAGUGUUUUUAUGUUACUUUGUUCUUCCAGUUUUCUGUCAGUAGUUUGUUCAAUUCGUACGCUUGGGAUUUGUUUGAUUGACGUACCUUAAAGCUGAUGCAAUAAUGCAUGAACUAUAUUCUGCCCUUUUUAUGCCCAAGGUAUAGUUCUCAAAUUUUGAUGCUAUAAACAUGACUACAUGAGGGAGAGUAGAGAAUAUGACAAAGUUAGAUGAGAUUUGUAGUGAAAAGCUUUCUUUCUUUUGUUUACCUACAUAUCUUGAUUGCAUGAUUGAUUCUUUUGCUGGAUGUUAGGAAGCUUGAAAGUUCGGUUUUCUGAUGGUGAGUUUAUGUGUGGUUUCAGGGUUACAGAUGCCACAAGGCUUGCAUAACAAGGGUGGAUUCCCUGAAAGGGGAGGCUUGCCAACCAAAAGGUGGUUCUUUCUUCUGUUAAUUGUUUCGAUCCUCUUUUUUUAUUUAUGCAAAAAGGAAUGCUAUUGCUUAUGUUCUCUGAUGAACUGCACCUUGAAUUCUUGAUUUUGCAAUUCACUGAAGAAUCGUCCAUCACAAACUCUGUUCAUUGAGAACUUUACCUGGAUAUGCUAAAGCUUGCACACUGACAUUUGUUGUUCAGUUAGCGCUGGAGUUGUGCAACUCCCAUGUAGUUUUCUAAUGUGUCAACAAACUGAAAAUUGUUGAUCCUUCUCACUACAGAUCGUGUCAUGAGCUCGGAGACAUUAAGGCACUGUUAGUUAGAUGUUCUAAUAUUAUCACGAUCUUCCUUUUUUGUUUAGCCUAGCAAAGGUAAAAUUGUUUCUUCUUUUCAAAAUGUAAAUUUUGUUGUCUGAAGCUCGUUUGGAACACUAUGUUAUGAAUUUACUCUCAGUUCACAGGUUGUUGAUUAUCUAUAGCCUACUCUGCUACGCAGUGAUCCAACCAUUUUUUCUUCUCUUGCUGCCCUGGUUGUGCUUCUUCCUUCUGGUAAUGCACUGCUCCUUAGCUUCUUUCUUUGUAUUUCUUAUGAGUGUUGCGUUUUGCGUAUGCUGCUCCCCCUGUGUGCAUAUACCAUGGGCUGUUCCCUUGUGUGCUGAUGAUGGAUUAGCUUACAAUCAGAUUCGUGUAAUGGAGCUAAAAAUAUAUUGGCUGGUUGUAUCUCUUAGUUUGGCAGAAAGCAUAGCAUAUCAAAUUGAUCGGUGACCAUCUUCCUCAGUUUCUGCAUAUUUAUUAUUGGGAAGAGAACCAGGCUACUCAUCGAUUAAUAAAAACUUUAUAGCUCUAUUCUCCUUCAAAUCAUUUCUUUAGUAUUAUUCUCUUAGAUUAAAGGUAUUAUUGUGAUGUUGUCCUGUUGUUCUGUAUGUAUUGGAUGGCCAUUCAGACAUGUUUUAAUGCGCUGAUAGAUAGAUGUGCUUUAUGUUUGCAUAGUUGUUCCUGUGUUCUUGCCUUUUUGUCUGUGUUUGUUUUGCAGGUUAGACGAAAUGCUCUGUUCCUAGACCUGCAUCUCGUUUCUGCUCCUCAAGAGCUGGUGUCCACGCCUUCAUCAUAGCUGGUGUCCACAUGUUCAUCAGAGAUCGUGUCCACGGCUUCAGCGGAGCUGCUGUCCACACUUUCAUCAGAGCUAAUGUUCACGGGAUCAUCCAUGCGAGCACUAGCGGUGCUACGUGUUACAAAAAGAGGCCACGGCGUCCCGCCGGUAGCAAAUGAAGUGGAGGAUUGAGAGUAGGCUGAGCUGUGAGAGAAAAAUAGUGGAUUCCUUUGUACUGGCACGCCCACCUUUGACAGUGUAGCUCCACCACUGCAUGCGAGCUCCCCUCAUGCUCAGCCGUGGUGGAAGCCUAAAACAACAUAGAUUAUCAAUCAACACAGACUAAUCAAGUCACAUUACUGUGACGAUGUGUAAAUCUGCCAGAGGUUUUGAAUGGGACUUCACACCACCAAAUUAGAAUGUGUACAAGACACCAUUUUUUCGACUAAAGGAGAUUAUGUUUAUUAUAA